rnacentral:snRNA from 1 species
AGCUGUGAGGACGAUCUGGCUGUGACACCUGUCAGCCCACUGAUCACCAGGGUUGAUUCAGCUGAUCAGGCUGGCUGAGUGGGUGUCCCCUCCUUCCUAACUGCUCCAUGUGCGUACCUCCUAAAGCCAUGUGCUUGGUAGAAGAAGAUGGGCUUCCCCACUAGAGGAGGACCAGUCUACUGUCAAGGGUAUACGAGUAGCUGCGCUCCCCUGCUAGAACCUCCCAACAAGCUCUUAAGACCAUAGCAGCCAUCUCAGGGAAACAGUUGAGAAUCCAACUCUAGUU